rnacentral:rRNA from 1 species
CAGUAGCCACGGUAAUACGAAGGGUGCAAGCGUUAAUCGGAAUUACUGGGCGUAAAGCGUGUGUAGGCGGUUUGUUAAGUCUGUUGUGAAAUCCCCGGGCUCAACCUGGGAAUGGCAAUGGAUACUGGCAAGCUAGAGUGUGUCAGAGGAUGGUGGAAUUCCCGGUGUAGCGGUGAAAUGCGUAGAGAUCGGGAGGAACAUCAGUGGCGAAGGCGGCCAUCUGGGACAACACUGACGCUGAGGCACGAAAGCGUGGGGAGCAAACAGGAUUAGAUACCCCCGUAGUCCCUGUCUCUUAUAA